rnacentral:misc_RNA from 1 species
GAUGAAGAACGCAGCGAAAUGCGAUAAGUAGUGUGAAUUGCAGAAUUCAGUGAAUCAUCGAAUCUUUGAACGCACAUUGCGCCUCCUGGUAUUCCGGGAGGCAUGCCUGUUCGAGCGUCAUUAAAAUCACUCAAGCUUAGGUUUACCUAUUGCUUGGUCUUGGAGAUGGAAGCCUAUUUAUUGGAAUCCUCUUCGAAAUUCAAUGGCGAAGACCCUUGCUCUCCCAAGUGUAGUAAUAACUUAUGUCACUGAAGGAAGCGAGAAAUCUUCUGCCGUAACCCCCAUAUUUUCUAUGAUUGACCUCGGAUCAGGUAGGGAUACCCGCUGAACUUAAGCAUAUCAAUAAGCGGAGGA